CCCUUAGAUGUUCUGGGCCGCACGCGCGCUACACUGAUUCAUGCACUAAGUAUAUAACCUUGGUAGAAAUGCUUGGGUAAUCUUCGAAACUGAAUCGUGCUGGGGAUUGGAGCUUGUAAUUAUUCUCCAUGAACGAGGAAUUCCUAGUAAACGCGAGUCAUCAGCUCGCAUUGAUUACGUCCCUGCCCUUUGUACACACCGCCCGUCGCACCUACCGAUUGAAUGGUCCGGUGAAAUCUUCGGACCGCGCAACGCCGCAAGGUGAUGCGUGGAAAGUUGCUUAAACCUUACCAUUUAGAGGGAGGUGAAGUCGUAACA
rnacentral:rRNA from 1 species